rnacentral:rRNA from 1 species
UACGGAGGGGGCUAGCGUUGUUCGGAAUCACUGGGCGUAAAGCGCGCGUAGGCGGCUUGGUAAGUUAGAAGUGAAAUCCCUGGGCUUAACCUAGGAAUUGCUUUUAAAACUGCUAAGCUAGAGAAUGGUAGAGGAGAGUGGAAUUCCUAGUGUAGAGGUGAAAUUCGUAGAUAUUAGGAGGAACACCAGAGGCGAAGGCGGCUCUCUGGGCCAUUUCUGACGCUAAGGCGCGAAAGCGUGGGGAGCAAACAGG